rnacentral:tmRNA from 1 species
GGGGGUGUCCCGGUUUCGACAGGUAGGAGUGUACUUGUGCUGCAGGUGAGGCUCUCAUCUGGUCUCUGAUACAGGUGAAAACUAUAACUGCCAAACGUAGAGAAGACGAAUUGUCUGAAAACGAACAGUUAGCUCUUGCUGCUUAAUCGCGCAUGAGCCGGAACUCGCGGGGUGCUGUCCCUAACGUCGCGAUGUUCUGUCACAAACAGGGACUUGCCUUAUGUACUGUCUGAAGUAUAUAUGGGACAUCCGAAAGGAAAUCAGAAUACGGAGACGAC